rnacentral:RNase_P_RNA from 2 species
CCAGGGGGCCGGGCAGCCGCGUCUUUCGCAAGAAGGCCGAGGAAAGUCCGGGCUCCACGAAACAAGGGUGGCGGGUAACGCCCGCCGGACGAGUGGCUUGCUGCGAAGUCCAGGGAAAGUGCCACAGAGAGCAGACCGCCUCGCACGCGAGGUAAGGGUGAAAGGGUGCGGUAAGAGCGCACCGGGGCCUUGGUAACAAGGCUCGCACGGCAAACCCCACCCGGAGCAAGACCGAAUAGGGGCGGCGCGCCUGGCCGCAAGGCCAGGCUGGUGUGUUUCGCAUUGACCGCCCGGGUUGGUUGCUUGAGCGUUGCAGCAAUGCAUCGCCUAGAGGAAUGGCUGCCAGCACGUGCCGCGUCUUCGGAUACGGGCCCGUGCUACAGAACCCGGCUUACAGGCCCCCUGGCACC